UACAGAGGUCCCGAGCGUUGUUCGGAUUCACUGGGCGUAAAGGGUGCGUAGGUGGCGAGGUAAGUCGGGUGUGAAAGCUCGGAGCUCAACUCCGAAAUGGCAUUGGAAACUACCUUGCUUGAGGGUUGGAGGGGGGACUGGAAUGCUUGGUGUAGCAGUGAAAUGCGUAGAUAUCAAGCGGAACACCAGUGGCGAAGGCGAGUCCCUGGACAACUCCUGACACUGAGGCACGAAAGCUAGGGGAGCAAACAGG
rnacentral:rRNA from 1 species